rnacentral:rRNA from 1 species
UACGAGGGGGGCAAAUGUUGUUCGGAAUCACUGGGCGUAAAGGGAGCGUAGGCGGGCUCUUAAGUUAGGUGUUUAAUCCCGGGGCCCAACCCCGGUCGUGCACUUAAAACUGGGAGUCUUGAAUAGUGGAGAGGUCAGUGGAAUUGGGGGUGUAGCGGUGGAAUGCGUAGAGAUCCCCAAGAACACCAGUUGCGAAGGCGGCUGACUGGACACAUAUUGACGCUGAGGUGCGAAAGCGUGGGGAGCAAACAGG